rnacentral:rRNA from 1 species
GACGAACGCUGGCGGCGUGCUUAACACAUGCAAGUCGAACGGAAAGGCCCUGCGUUUGUGGGGUGCUCGAGUGGCGAACGGGUGAGUAACACGUGAGUAACCUGCCCUUGACUUUGGGAUAACUUCAGGAAACUGGGGCUAAUACCGGGUAGGAGCUCCUGCUGCAUGGUGGGGGUUGGAAAGUUUCGGCGGUUGGGGAUGGACUCGCGGCUUAUCAGCUUGUUGGUGGAGUAGUGGCGUACCAAGGCUUUGACGGGUAGCCGGCCUGAGAGGGUGACCGGCCACAUUGGGACUGAGAUACGGACCAGAAUCCUACGGGAGGCAGCAGUGGGGAAUAUUGCACAAUGGGCGGAAGCCUGAUGCAGCAACGCCGUGUGCGGGAUGACGGCCUUCGGGUUGUAAACCGAUUUCGCAUGUGACGAAGCGUGAGUGACGGUAAUGGGUAAAGAAGCACCGGCUAACUACGUG